rnacentral:misc_RNA from 1 species
GUCACGCCCGAAGUCAUUACCCCAACCGAGAGGAGGGGGAUGCCUAAGGCAGGGCUAGUGACUGGGGUGAAGUCGUAACAAGGUAGCCGUACCGGAAGGUGUGGCUGGAUCACCUCCUUAAAGGGAGACCUAAUUCCGGUAGGAGACGAAAAAAAAGUAGUCGCUACCAAGAAUCAAUCCCAAAAGGUCGGAGCGAGGCGAAAUUGGCUUUCAAACUAGGUUCUGGGUUCACACAAGACCUGAAUCAGGAACAAGGGCUAUUAGCUCAGGUGGUUAGAGCGCACCCCUGAUAAGGGUGAGGUCCCUGGUUCGAGUCCAGGAUGGCCCACCUGCACAGGUGGCAAAAACAAGAGAAGCGAGGAAUCAGUACCUUAUCUUACUUAUAUAGUAAGAGAGAAUGCUGGCUCUGAGUAAAGAGUCCAGAGGAACCUUGAAAACUGCAUAGAGCUAGGUGAAAAAGCCAAAAAAGAAGACCGCAAGGUCAAGCUAAUAAGGGCUAACGGUGGAUACCUAGGCACACAGAGG